rnacentral:SRP_RNA from 1 species
UCAGCCUACGAACCGCGUCAGGGCCGGAAGGCAGCAGCGCUAAGUAGUCACUGACAUGUGCCGCAGGCUCUUCCGGGCCG